rnacentral:rRNA from 1 species
AUGAACGCUGGCGGUCUGCUUAACACAUGCAAGUCGAACGGGAAGUAGCAAUACUCCAGUGGCGGACGGGUGAGUAACGCGUGAGAAUCUGCCUUUUGGUCGGGGACAACCACUGGAAACGGUGGCUAAUACCGGAUGUGCCUGCGGGUAAAAGAUUAAUUGCCAGAAGAGGAGCUCGCGUCUGAUUAGCUAGUUGGUAGGGUAAAAGCCUACCAAGGCAUCGAUCAGUAGCUGGUCUGAGAGGACGAUCAGCCACACUGAGACUGAGACACGGCCCAGACUCCUACGGGAGGCAGCAGUGGGGAAUUUUCCGCAAUGGGCGAAAGCCUGACGGAGCAAGACCGCGUGAGGGAAGAAGGCUCUUGGGUCGUAAACCUCUUUUGUAGGGAAGAACACAAUGACGGUACCUAACGAAUCAGCCUCGGCUAACUCCGUGCCAGCAGCCGCGGGUAAUACGGAGGAGGCAAGCGUUAUCCGGAAUUAUUGGGCGUAAAGCGUCCGCAGGUGGCGAUUCAAGUCUGCGGUCAAAGACUGGGGCUUAACCCUGGAAAGGCCGUGGAAACUGAAAAGCUAGAGUGGCAGUAGGGGUAGAGGGAAUUCCCGGUUGUAGCGGUGAAAUGCGUAGAGCUCGGGAAGAACAUCGGUGGCGAAAAGCGCUCUGCUGGACUGCAACUGACACUCAGGGACGAAAGCUAGGGGAGCGAAUGGGAUUAGAUACCCCAGUAGUCCUAGCCGUAACGAUGGAUACUAGGUGUGGCUUGUAUCGACCCGAGCCGUGCCGUAGCUAACGCGUUAAGUAUCCCGCCUGGGGAGUACGCACGCAAGUGUGAAACUCAAAGGAAUUGACGGGGGCCCGCACAAGCGGUGGAGUAUGUGGUUUAAUUCGAUGCAACGCGAAGAACCUUACCAGGGCUUGACAUGUCGCGAAUCUUGGGGAAACCUAAAGAGUGCCUUCGGGAGCGCGAACACAGGUGGUGCAUGGCUGUCGUCAGCUCGUGUCGUGAGAUGUUGGGUUAAGUCCCGCAACGAGCGCAACCCUCGUCUUAGUUGCCAGCAUUAAGUUGGGCACUCUAGGAGAGACUGCCGGUGACAAACCGGAGGAAGGUGGGGAUGACGUCAAGUCAGCAUGCCCCUUACGUCCUGGGCUACACACGUACUACAAUGGUAGGGACAAAGGGCAGCAAGCACGCAAGUGCAAGCAAAUCCCAUAAACCCUGCCUCAGUUCAGAUCGCAGGCUGCAACUCGCCUGCGUGAAGGAGGAAUCGCUAGUAAUUGCAGGUCAGCAUACUGCAGUGAAUCCGUUCCCGGGCCUUGUACACACCGCCCGUCACACCAUGGAAGCUGGCCACGCCCGAAGUCGUUACUCCAACUGGCAACAGAGGAGGACGCCGAGGGCAGGGCUGGUGACUGGGGUG